CCCCCGGCACGCAUGUCUGCACGCUCUGAAGUCCCUCCUGUCAGCACACCUUCUUCAUUUAAAUCUCGGCCCCGCACUCCAAGUUCUGCGCGCUCGGAAACCAAACCUCCACCACAUCCAUUCUAUCAACAGAAGCACAUACAAGUCAACAAACCACGUGGGAAGUACCCGGAUUUGAGGCAUUCGUCACGAUCUACACCAUCAGCAACGCCAGUGACGUCAUUUAAGUACACGAAACGAGAAUCUACCUCGUCUAGUGGCAUCAAAACCCCUCCCCAAGUGACAGAUUUUGAUAUAAAUGUAGCAUUACACGCGCUCCAGAAUCCAGAUACGCCCAAAUCGUUACCAAUCAACUGUUUUUCUCCGGGAUACAACUUGUCCUAGGAUUUGCACAGCACUCUGAACUGUCCUUUCAUUUUUGCACGUAAAUGUUAAUAUUUGUACACCUCAUUAGAGAUUGAUAUUAUCUCAGCUUAUUUGAGGUCGGUUGAAUUUGCAUUUUGCUUUAAUUGUUUGUUUAAUCAACGCUAUGGCAUUUAGUUGUGCAUAAAAUUGUGAGUAUGUGUACAAGAGCUACAAGCAUGGCCGGUUGUUAGUUUUAAUAAUUUGGUGCCAAUAUUUUUCUGUGAUAAAAUAUUCAUUUUUAUGAAUAACAGAUUUUAUGUUUAUUUGAAAUGAAGUUCUCACUAUAUUAAUAAAUCUUUAUUUAAAUUG
rnacentral:misc_RNA from 1 species